rnacentral:rRNA from 1 species
AGUGAACGCUGGCGGUAGGCCUAACACAUGCAAGUCGAACGGCAGCACAGUAAGAGCUUGCUCUUACGGGUGGCGAGUGGCGGACGGGUGAGGAAUACAUCGGAAUCUACUUUUUCGUGGGGGAUAACGUAGGGAAACUUACGCUAAUACCGCAUACGCCCUACGGGUGAAAGCAGGGGAUCUUCGGACCUUGCGCGAUUGAAUGAGCCGAUGUCGGAUUAGCUAGUUGGCGGGGCAAAGGCCCACCAAGGCGACGAUCCGUAGCUGGUCUGAGAGGAUGAUCAGCCACACUGGAACUGAGACACGGUCCAGACUCCUACGGGAGGCAGCAGUGGGGAAUAUUGGACAAUGGGCGCAAGCCUGAUCCAGCCAUACCGCGUGGGUGAAGAAGGCCUUCGGGUUGUAAAGCCCUUUUGUUGGGAAAGAAAAGCAGCAGGUUAAUACCCCGCUGUUCUGACGGUACCCAAAGAAUAAGCACCGGCCAACUUCGUG